GUGUCAGCAGCCGCGGUAAUACGUAGGGUGCAAGCGUUAAUCGGAAUUACUGGGCGUAAAGCGUGCGCAGGCGGUUAUACAAGACAGGCGUGAAAUCCCCGGGCUUAACCUGGGAAUGGCGCCUGUGACUGUAUAGCUAGAGUGUGUCAGAGGGGGGUAGAAUUCCACGUGUAGCAGUGAAAUGCGUAGAUAUGUGGAGGAAUACCAAUGGCGAAGGCAGCCCCCUGGGAUAACACUGACGCUCAUGCACGAAAGCGUGGGGAGCAAACAGGAUUAGAAACCCGCGUAGUCC
rnacentral:rRNA from 1 species